CAUCUAGGCGGGGAAUUAAGUUAGGUGUGAAAUCUACGGGCUCAACCCGUAAAUUGCACUUAAAACUGGUUCUCUUGAGUUCGGGAGAGGAGAGCGGAAUUCCUGGUGUAGCGGUGAAAUGCGUAGAUAUCAGGAAGAACACCAGUGGCGAAGGCGGCUCUCUGGCCUAGAACUGACGCUGAAGUGCGAAAGCGUGGGGAGCGAACG
rnacentral:rRNA from 1 species